GAGUUUGAUCCUGGCUCAGAACGAACGCUGGCGGCGUGCCUGAGACAUGCAAGUCGUGGGAGAAAGUCGUAGCAAUACGGCUAGUAAACCGGCGCACGGGUGAGUAACACGUGGACAACCUGCCUUAGAGUCUGGGAUAACCCGUCGAAAGACGAGCUAAUACCGGAUAAGACCACGGGAAGUUCGCUUCCUGAGGUAAAAGAUGGCCUCUGCUCCUGCAAGCUAUCACUUUGAGAGGGGUCCGCGUCCUAUCAGCUAGUUGGCGAGGUAACGGCUCACCAAGGCUAAGACGGGUAGCUGGUCUGAGAGGAUGGUCAGCCACACUGGGACUGAGACACGGCCCAGAGUCCUACGGGAUGCAGCAGUCAGGAAUAUUGCGCAAUGGAGGAAACUCUGACGCAGCGACGCCGCGUGGGUGAUGAAGGCCUUCGGGUCGUAAAGCCCUGUCGGAGGGGAAGAAAAGUCUGUUGGCUAAUAUCCGGCGGACCUUUGACGGUACCCUCAAAGGAAGCACCGGCUAACUCCGUGCCAGCAGCCGCGGUAAGACGGAGGGUGCAAGCGUUGUUCGGAUUGACUGAGCGUAAAGGGCGUGUAGGC
rnacentral:rRNA from 1 species